rnacentral:rRNA from 1 species
GUGACUAUUGUUCAACGGCCGCGGUAUCCUAACCGUGCGAAGGUAGCGUAAUCACUUGUUCUUUAAAUGAGGACUAGUAUGAAUGGCAUCACGAGGGUUAUACUGUCUCCUCUCUCUAAUCAGUGAAACUAAUCUCCCCGUGAAGAAGCGGGGAUGAAAUUAUAAGACGAGAAGACCCUAUGGAGCUUUAAGUAAAUCUUCAAACGCUUGUAUACCCUAACAGUCAUAGACCCUUAAAAUUAACUUUAGCGCCAUGAAGAUGAACUUUAGGUUGGGGUGACCACGGAGUACAAAAAAACCUCUACGCUGAACAAGUCUCAAAGCCUUGAGUAAAGGGCCACAACCCGAUACACUAAUAAACUAACACCAAUUGACCCA